AGGGCGUACGGUGAAUGCCUUGGUGCCAACAGGCGAAGAAGGACGCGGCAAGCUGCGAAAAACCUCGGGAAGCUGCAAGCAAGCGAUGAUCCGGGGGUGUCCGAAUGGGGUAACCUGACUGGGGUAAUACCUGGUCGUUCAUACCUGAAUACAUAGGGUAUGAAACGCAAUACCCGCUGAAGUGAAACAUCUCAGUAAGCGGAGGAAAAGAAAGAGAAAUCGAUUCCGUAAGUAGUGGCGAGCGAAAGCGGAUGGAGCCCAAACCGAAGGUACUCCUUCGGGGUUGUAGGACCACGACAUAUUCGACCAUAGUGGAUAGUAGAACAGUCUGGAAAGGCUGGCCAUAGAAGGUGAAAGCCCUGUAGACGAAAUCCAGAGUGGGAAUUAGUGGUAUCCUGAGUAAUACAUCACACGUGGAACGAUGUAUGAAUCAGCGCGGACCACCGCGCAAGGCUAAAUACUAGUUGGCGACCGAUAGUGAACAAGUACCGCGAGGGAAAGGUGAAAAGAACCGCUGUGAGCGGAGUGAAAUAGAACCUGAAACCGUAUGUCUACAAAGUGUCAGAGCAGAGCAAUCUGCGAUGGCGUGCCUUUUGUUUAAUGAGUCUGCGAGUCAGUGUUUGUGGCAAGACUAAGGGCUUCCGGCCCGGAGUCGCAGCGAAAGCAAGUCCGAAUAGGGCGCAUUAAGUCGCAGGUACUGGACCCGAAGCGGAGGUGACCUACCCUUGGCCAGGUUGAAGCAUGGGUAAAACCAUGUGGAGGACCGAACAGGUGAACGUUGAAAAGUUCUCUGAUGAGCUGAGGGUAGGAGUGAAAGGCUAAUCAAACCCCGUGAUAGCUGGUUCUCUUCGAAAUGCAUUUAGGUGCAGCGUCACGUGCUGAUGCGCGGGGGUAGAGCACUGACAAGGCUAGGGGGCACACCCGCUUACCAAACCUUAUCAAACUCCGAAUACCGUGCAAUGGAACGUGGCAGUGAGACAGUGGGGGAUAAGCUUCAUUGUCGAGAGGGAAACAACCCAGACCAGCAGCUAAGGUGCCUAAAUAACGCUGAGUGGAAAGGAUGUGGGAUUACACAGACAGUGAGGAUGUUGGCUUAGAAGCAGCCACCAUUUAAAAAAUGCGUAAUAGCUUACUCAUCGAGUGAUCCUGCGCCGAAAAUGAUUGGCGAUCAAGCGUUAUACCGAAGCUCUGGACUUUGCCGCAAGGCAGAGUGGUAGAAGAGCGUUGCAUGCGCAUUGAAGGGUGAUGGCGACUGACCCUGGAGCGCAUGCAAGUGAGUAUGCAGACAUGAGUAACGUAAAGCCGGGUGAAAUCCCCGGCCGCCGUAAACCCGAGGUUUCCAGGGCAACGUGUUUCGUCCCUGGGUUAGCCGGGACCUAAGCCGAGGCCGAGAGGCGUAGGCGAUGGAUAUCAGGUUAAUAAUCCUGAGCUCGCGACCCUUAAACUGGGGGGACGCAUGAGAAGAGAUGACCAGGUUAUUGAAUUCCGAGCUGGGUCCACGGACCCAGCGCAUCAUCAAAUCGAGUGCCAAGAAAAGCCCCAGCGUAUGCUAAGCGACCCGUACCGCAAACCGACACAGGUGGGUGGGUAGAAUAUACCAAGGCGUAAGAGUGAAACCUGGUUAAGGAACUCGGCAAAUUAGCCCCGUAACUUCGGAAGAAGGGGUGCCUGCAGCGAUGCAGGCCGCAGAGAAAUGGCCCAACCGACUGUUUAUCAAAAACACAGCACUCUGCAAAGACGCAAGUCGAAGUAUAGGGUGUGACACGUGACCAAUGCCGAAAGAUUAAGGCAAGGGGUUAGCCGCAAGGCGAAGCUCUGAACCCAAGUCCCGGUGAAUGUCGGCCGUAACUAUAACGGUCCUAAGGUAGCGAAAUUCCUUGUCGGGUAAGUUCCGACCUGCACGAAUCGUGAAACGAGUUGGGCACUGUCUCAACCAGGCGCUCAGUGAAAUUGUAGUGGCGGUGAAGAUGCCGCCUACCCGCAGAAGGACGGAAAGACCCUAUAGACCUUAACUGUAAGCUGUCAUUGUUUCUUCGGUUUUAAUGCUCAGAGUAAGUGGGAGACGCUGAAGAUGCCCUUUAGGGGGCAUCCGAGUCAUCAAUGAGACACCACCCUUUGAAACUGGAGGAUCUAACCCUGAGCCGUGAAUCCGGCCAGAGGACCGUGUCAGCCGGUCAGUUUUACUGGGGCGGUAUCCUCCCAAAGAGUAACGGAGGAGCGCGAAGGUGGGCUCAGCCCGGUUGGCAACCGGGUGUCGAGUGCAUGGGCAUAAGCCCGCCUAACUGUGAGACCAACAAGUCGAGCAGAUGCGAAAGCAGGCCCAAGUGAUCCGGCGGUAGAAAGUGGAAUUGCCGUCGCUCAACGGAUAAAAGGUACCUUAGGGAUAACAGGCUGAUCACGCCCAAGAGUUCAUAUCGACGGCGUGGUUUGGCACCUCGAUGUCGGCUCGUCGCAUCCUGGGGCUGUAUUCGGUCCCAAGGGU
rnacentral:rRNA from 1 species